rnacentral:lncRNA from 1 species
UUUUUGUUCAAUGGUGAAUUUUAAUCUUGGAUUCACGUCAUAUUUCAAUCAUUUCCUUAUUUGGAUCAUGGAAGUUACUACCUGACUUAGCUGAUGUUAUAUACGAAUCUUCAACCAUGACUGCAAGGAGAAGGUGAGCCAUUAAGUUUGGCAAAUUGUGGACCACUUGCUGCUUUCAUCGUUGUGAAAGGAAGUAUGGUAAGGAAUUGGAA